GUGGGGGCAUUUUACCAUCUGACGACAAACACCACGGCAACAAGUAGGAUGUUUUCGUUUCAUCCGUUAAAGCUGAAAUCGAGUCUGGGAUGCAUUUUUGAGGCUCUUACCAAGAUGUCAUAAGAAACCCCAAUGGAGGCCAUGGCCUAAGUGCUCUCCACUUCUUGUCUGCUGCCUCCUGACUACUCUGGAGUUUCUCCAUAAUGGUGCUGGGUGGUGUGCUCUGUCUCCUGUCUCUAGGACCUAUGAGAAGCAGGAGCUACCUAAGAUACUGUUACUGAGGAUGAACUCAGUACAUUGGAUUACUACUGGGGCAACUCUCCUUUUUCCCAGUGGCAUUGGCUCCAUCCAUUGAACAGAUAAGGAGCGGAGGCACACAAGAUGAAAGUAACUGAAUGUGCAGCUGGGACUUUUACCUCGGGCCUCUGAGAGUAGCAUUUACCCAUUCUAAACAAACACUGGCUUUUCUGUUUUAUUCUACUGUUUUCUCUAUACUUUGAUUUAUCCUCUCCACACAUCCCCACCUCCUCCAGUAUACCUUUAUUCACUCCUAUAGCGUAUUAAAGAACAAAACACUUU